UCGGGAAUUUUGGGCAAUGGGCGCAAGCCUGACCCAGCAACGCCGCGUGAAGGAUGAAGUUUUUCGGAAUGUAAACUUCACAAGAAUGGGAAGAAUAAGGAAGGGUCAACACCUCUUCCGAUGACGGUACCAUUUGUAAGCUCCGGCUAACUCCGUGCCAGCAGCCGCGGUAAUACGGGGGGAGCAAGCGUUGUUCGGAUUUACUGGGCGUAAAGGGCGCGUAGGCGGCCACCGCAAGUCACUUGUGAAAUCUCUGGGCUCAACUCAGAGCGGCCAAGUGAUACUGCGGGGCUAGAGUGCGGAAGGGGCAACUGGAAUUCUCGGUGUAGCGGUGAAAUGCGUAGAUAUCGAGAGGAACACCUGUGGCGAAGGCGGGUUGCUGGGCCGACACUGACGCUGAGGCGCGAAAGCUAGGGGAGCGAACGGGAUUAGAUACCCCGGUAGUCCUAGCCUUAAACGAUGGAUGCUUGGUGUCCGGAGUACUAUAGUCUCCGGGUGCCGUCGCUAACGCAUUAAGCAUCCC
rnacentral:rRNA from 1 species